CUCUCUCUUCUCUUCCUCUGGGCUUGCCUCUCUUUCCCUUGCUCUCUCUUAAUCCCAUUACUUUCUGGGUUUUUUUGUUUUUUGUUUUCCGUUUUUCUCUCUGCCUACCUCUUAAGCCCAUCAACAGCUUCAUUGUUGCCUUCUAGGGCAAAAAGUUUACUGAAGGCUUGUCUAAGCUGAAGUGAAAGUAAACAGAAAGAAAGGCUUCCUUUAAUUCCUGAGCUAGAAUUGCAACAAAGUAUAAUGAUGUUUCAGUACAAUAUGUGACCCAAAGAGAUAAAGUUAUAUACUCUAGCCAGGCUUUCAGCUUCCAAUAUGCAAGGGACAGUUGCCCACUGAGCUCUUGAUGAGGUUCUCAAUCAUUACUGGUAAUACGAAGGUUCUCAUGUUUCCAUUUUGAAAAAAAAGAACCUGUAAUCAGGAGAUGUUAGCAUUUUAUCAAUAUGUAGAAGUUGUAGAGGGAAGUUUCCCUGAAGCUUGAAAAGUAAGAAUGGAAGCAGAAGAAAAAUUUUCUAUAAAGGACAGACAGGAUGUGGAAAACUGAAAAUAGCAUCAUGUGGAAAAUUCAAGGCAAACGAGAAGAAACCAAGAGGAUCAUUCCUUUGGCUCGAUUUCAAGAAAAAGAUCCUUAGCUCCUCACAACAAAAUUCAAGGGAUCAUCUGUAAGGAAAUAAAAUCCAGAAUAUCCAAGUCUGAAGCUUCCUGGUGAAAAAGAGCAGCUGGACCCCUACUCUCCCCCGUGAAGUUCCCCUCCCGGUGGAUCAUCUUGCCACCAUCCUGCCUGGAUGAUAAGGAGCUGCUCCUCUUUGAACACACCGAGACCAGGCUGGGUUGUGAAAAAAGAAUCGACUCAAAUCUAGGGGAUGGUUUAAAAAAAGAAUAAAUAAAAAUAAAGUAUGUCCAAGGUGGACUCUGCUUUCUCACAGCUACCUCCCCAUUCCACAUGAGGCCUUAGAAAAAGAAAUUUUGCUUGGAUUCCUCCUAGCUUCCAAUCUUCCUCAUCAUGGUAAAUACCAUACACGAGUACCCACCACAUAGGUGUACAAUCCCAGACACAGAACUAACAUACAGUUAGGCAGGUUGGGCACUGCACAAAGAUAUCACAUCUUAGAAGGCACCAUUCGCAUUGUAGACAUCACAGAUUUCUAUGUUUACCAAAAUAAUUUUCUGGUGAAUGGCAGCUAAGUAUCUUGUUACAUAGUCAGUACAUUGUGAUACUUUUUAUAAUCAUUGAAACUAGAAUGCCUUGAGGAAGACUUGGGGAGGGGGUGCCUUUUCCACUUUGUACACAUGUAUGAUGUGGGUGUGGAGGCCUUGACUGGGCAUCUAGAAUGUUUAAAGUCUAGAAAGAGGAAGAGAGAUCCAGCUCCCUGGCUGUUAACCCCAAACCUAGAGCCUGCUCUCUCAGCUCCCAUUUCCUGUCUAAGGUCUUACCUCUUCCUCUAGCAAUUGACAUAGAGAAUUGCUCCACCCUUCAGCCAAGAGGUCUUUACUUUUGCAGAGCUUAAUGAUAUAACUAGAUUCAUAUAAUACAAUAAUCUACAACAAUAAAUACACACAUGGUAAUAGAAAAUGAUUUCCUUAUAAAGUUUCUAAGAUACACACAUGCAGAGUUGUUUAUUUUAAGGCCAUGUUAAUUUCAGGAAGAACAAAUUUCUGUUACCCAAAUGGCUGAGGAGGUAUUAAAUUGAAUAAUAGAUUAUAUCUGCUGUUCGCUUUGACAACUUAAGCUUUUGUAAUAUCACAUCUAAAACAUGAGGAAAAUAUUACUAGGUUGAUUUGGUUUUCAAUGUAACACUCACUAGAUAUGAUGUCAUAAUUCCUGAAACAUCAAUGAAAAGAGAACGUUUGGUUUUUCAAAUGUGUUGGCCCAGUAUAAAUACAGCUAUUUCCAACAUCAGACCUAGCCAUUUUUAGCCUUCCCACCCUUAGUAUAAGUGUAUUUCUUAAAACAUGGUCCUUAUUGCAAUAUUUUGUACUAUGUUUAAUCCUCAAUAUGUUCUGAGAUUUAAGCUAAAACCAAGCUUUAAUUCUAAAUAAAAAAGAAAACAGUUUUUAAGGUGUAUCUUUGUAACUGCAAUAUAGAAUUUCCAAGUUAAUUAAAAAAUAUUAGCUUGUUACUGUUUAAACUUUCUUAGUGUAAAAUAUAUCAUACCUUCACAAUAGUGUAUAUGUGUAUAUGUGCUGUUUAAAGAAGAAUAAUAAAAGAAGAGCUAUGUACCUACUAUCCAUCUUAAGAAAUAGAACAUAACCAGUACCUUAGAAGUUUCCUUUCUACCUCUCCCUGGUGAUGCUCCUUUCCCUGUCCACCAUAAUUAACCAUAUGUUGAAACUUUGUUAAUCACUCCACGCUUCUAUUAAUUGUUUUAUCAUAUACGUGUAUCCUUAAGCAAUAUAUUGUCUAAUUUUGCCUUCUUUUACAAUUGAUGUAAAUGAAAUCAUACAUAUAUAGGCUUGUAUGACUUGCU